rnacentral:rRNA from 1 species
CCGCUGAAUUUAAGCAUAUCAGUAAGCAGAGGAAAAGAAACUAACAAGGAUUGCCCCAGUAAUGGCGAAUGAAAAGGCAAAAGCUCAGAUUGAAAAUCUUAGCCGCAUGGCUUAGAGUUGUAGUCUGGAGUUAUAAUCGGAAUUUAAAACUCAAGCAUAAGUCGGUUGGAAAGCCGCGCUAAAAAGGGUGAUAGCCCCGUAGUCGGUUUGAGUUUGGAGUACGAUUAGAAACAAAGAGUCGGGUAGUUUGGGAUUGCUGCCCUAAUUUGGAGAUAAACUUCUUCUAAAGCUAAAUAUUGAUGGGAGACCGAUAGCGAACAAGUACUGUGAAGGAAAGAUGAAAAGAACUUUGAAGA